AAACUGAGCCCCAAAAUGGUUCAGCAAUUCACUCUAAGUCUUACAUUGACUAAGUGAUAGAGCAAGGAUGUCAACCCAAGCCACCUGUGUCCAGAUGCCGUGUUUCUAAUCAUGAUGCUGUGCCACUUCAAAGGAAUUUUCAAGCAUUCACUGAAAGUCAUCCCCAUUCUGUACUGCAGAGUUGAGAACUGUCAACAAGAGAGAGGAAAAGUCUUUUUAGUGGAUCCAGCGGGGAGGAAUCUCAGCCCAAAUCCACAUGCACUUAGGAAAACCUCUAAGGAGAGGGAAAUUGUUUUGAGGAUUUUAAAUCUAUAAGCUCAGCAGAUUCCCCACUGUGCUGAUGGACAAGAUUCACUUGACUAGCCCCGCCUCAAUGUAACACCAUCUUCUUGGCCCUUAGUGAAAUUAGCUUGACUGCAGAUGACAUUCAGCAUUUGAUCAAAUUUAAUGUAAUG
rnacentral:lncRNA from 1 species